GAUCAACUUUGGUGUUUAUGACGUCGAAUAUCGACGUCAUAAACACGAUCAACUUUGGUGUUUAUGACGUCGAUAUUCGACGUCAUAAACACGAUCA